CACAAGCGGUGGAUGAUGUGGAUUAAUUCGAUGCAACGCGAAAACCUUACCCACCUUUGACAUGUACGGAAUCCUUUAGAGAUAGAGGAGUGCUCGAAAGAGAACCGUAACACAGGUGCUGCAUGGCUGUCGUCAGCUCGUGUCGUGAGAUGUUGGGUUAAGUCCCGCAACGAGCGCAACCCUUGUCAUAAUUGCCAUCAUUCAGUUGGGGCACUUUAAUGAGACUGCCGGUGACAAACCGGAGGAAGGUGGGGAUGACGUCAAGUCCUCAUGGCCCUUAUGGGUAGGGCUUCACACGUAAUACAAUGGUCGGUACAGAGGGUUGCCAACCCGCGAGGGGGAGCCAAUCCCAGAAAACCGAUCGUAGUCCGGAUUGCAGUCUGCAACUCGACUGCAUGAAGUCGGAAUCGCUAGUAAUCGCGGAUCAGCAUGUCGCGGUGAAUACGUUCCCGGGCCUU
rnacentral:rRNA from 1 species